ACUCCUACGGGAGGCAGCAGUGGGGAAUAUUGGACAAUGGGGGCAACCCUGAUCCAGCCAUGCCGCGUGAGUGAAGAAGGCCCUAGGGUCGUAAAGCUCUUUCAACUGUGAAGAUAAUGACGUGAGCAGUAGAAGAAAACCCCGGCUAACUCCUGUGCCAUGCAGCCGCGGUAAUACGGAGGGGUUAGCGUUGUUCGGAAUUACUGGGCGUAAAGCGCACGUAGGCGGACUAUUAAGUUAGAGGUGAAAUCCCAGGGCU
rnacentral:rRNA from 1 species